GUGCGAACAGGAGGUAAAUUUUUUCACAAUAUAAGUUGGUCAUAAUUUAUCGCUUCACUUCAGUCUCAUACCACACACAUAUCAAAAUGUAUCGGUUCUAUGUACUGUGUGUUCUUCUUGUUGUUAUAAAUUUAAGUAGCGCAGCUUUAAGAGUUGAGAGAUCGCCACAGUUCAGCCAAGCAAAUGCCCAAGCUGGUGGUUUUGGUGGUGGUUUGAGACCACCUAUAAUAGGUGGAGGAUUGGGACGUGGUCAAUUUGGGCAAAAUGGAUUCGGACCCGGUAGGUUUGGACAACGACCUGGUGGACUUGCACCGAAUAGACUUGGUAACGGAAGUUCUGGACAGGGUGGUUCCUUGAGCAUUGCGAAGAGCAUAAGCAUCAACGUUGGUAGAGGUGGCGGCCAAGCUGCUUCAAGUGCUAGUUCUUUUGGGAAGUGAUCCAAAAGGCCGAUGAAAAAAACACUUAUAAUUUGAAAAUUAAAUCUAAAUUAACAAAUUUUAUAUUGACUUUCAAAUUAUGCAUUUGCUGUCACGAAAACAUAUUGAAACCUCAUUCAAACCGACCAUCAAAAAUAUGGGAAUCUAGUGAAAAAAUACUGCCUAUAAAACAUAUAUAUGAUUCUUUAUUAGAUUGGUGUGUCGUCAUUUACGUCACCAAACAACCAAGAAAGUUUCUACCAGGAAGCUUCCUGAAAAGUAAAUUUUUUUUACAAACACAAGUUGCUAUAAUAAUGUUAUUGUUGACGACCCAUAGACCUCAGAGAUCCCGGGUUCGAAUCCCGGUAAGUGAAUUUCAUUUAUAAUAUGAUGAAUAUGGACUUUUGUUUGUGAGUCAUCGAGAUUUAUAUGUAUUAAUGUAUGUUUGAAUAUGUAUAUUAAAUAUAUCGGUUAUGCCUAGUUUUGGGGUAAAUAAAUUUUGUUAAAUUGUGUUAAAUAUUAAUUAAAUUGUCUCAUAAAUUGUUAUAUUUUAAAGUGAUAACCCUCACUACUGGGAUUAAUUACACAAAUAAAAUUUGAAAACAAAGUUUAUGAAUGAUGCGGGACUCGAAUCCGCGACCCCUCGCGUUCCGUGCGAGCGCUCAUUCCAACUGAGCCAACUGUUCUAGUGACGUAAAGUUCAUAAAUCUUGUAUACAUUCUUCAUCUCUCAGGAUGUGGCUUCAUCUACAGGAUCUACUUUGCAGUUGAUAACCUGCUCAACCCUGAUAUUUUGUAUAUUAGGAAAUUUACUUGAGAUGUCGCUCUUGCAAAUCUAAACAAUUUGUUAUGUUAAACAAUUUGUUGUUUUAUAAUAUUGUAGGAAUAACGUAUGCGACAGAUAUGUAUGUAUGUACGUACAUAAACCCUGUGAAUAAAUUCAUGCCUCACUGCAUUUUUUUUGCUUCAUUUUUUUUAUUUGUAGGAGGUGUUUGGGUGUAUCGUAGAAAUAGAAGAAAAGUAAUUGGGGGUAGACCCGGUGCUAUUAUAAUAAGAAACUAAAACUUACAUAUUUAACUAUUCUUAUUUGUGUUAUGUAUAAAUAAAAUUAUUCACACCAAA